rnacentral:rRNA from 1 species
GUUGCUCUGUGAUUUACUUCCACACAUGUGUGAGCGCACAAAACACAUAAACGUGAGUAAUUUUAGUCGAAACUUGGAUCUUACAAAACUUUCAACAACGGAUCUCUUGGUUCACAACGAUGAAGAGCGCACGAAAUGCGAUACCUAGUGUGAAUUGCAGCCAUCGUGAAUCAUCGAGUUCUUGAACGCACAUUGCGCCCGUCGGUAUUCCGGCGGGCAUGCCUGUCUGAGCGUCGUUUCCUUCUUGGAACUUUUGUUAAAAAAGAAAGUUCCAGAGUUGGCCGUGCCACUGGCCCGGCCGAAAAGAAACGUGGCGGACGAAGCGAACUACAUCGGGACGCUUUGGCCGCCGAGCGAAAAUAUAUAUCAUUGAGCUCGACCUCAGAUCAGGUAGGAGUACCCGCUGAACUUAAGCAUAUCAAUAAGCGGAGGAUAGG